rnacentral:rRNA from 1 species
GCGCAAGCCUGAUGCAGCAACGCCGCGUGAGGGAUGAAGGCCUUCGGGUUGUAAACCUCUUUUAGCAGGGAAGAAGCGAAAGUGACGGUACC